UACAGAGGGUGCAAGCGUUGUUCGGAAUUACUGGGCGUAAAGCGUGCGCAGGCGGUCUGUUAAGACCGAUGUGAAAUCCCCGGGCUUAACCUGGGAACUGCAUUGGUGACUGGCAGGCUUUGAGUGUGGCAGAGGGAGGUAGAAUUCCACGUGUAGCAGUGAAAUGCGUAGAGAUGUGGAGGAAUACCGAUGGCGAAGGCAGCCUCCUGGGCCAACACUGACGCUCAUGCACGAGAGCGUGGGGAGCAAACAGG
rnacentral:rRNA from 1 species